rnacentral:tRNA from 3 species
AUUUAUAUAGUUUAAAAAAACAUUAUAUUUUCAUUAUAAAAUUAGAAUCUUUCUUAUAAAUA